rnacentral:lncRNA from 1 species
AAGAAAGUCACGGGUAGGAUUUGGAUUGAGUGCUGGGUUCUGACACUAAUUAUCAACUAAUUUUAAACAUCUCUGUUCUGAAAUUUUUUUUGUAGAAGUUUCUGAGGUAAAGUCUUAUUCUUCGCUAAUUCUAUGUAUUCUAAACGUAUUUCUUUUUAGUUUUAUCAGCAUUUCCUUAAGUGAACGAGUUAUUUUUAAACCCUAAUCUAUGAAGACAAGUUAUUUGGCAGUAGACGAAGAUGAGGUGACUGAGUUGGAGGGAAGAAAGGAUUUAGGGCCUAGCAGGUGGGUUUGGAGGAGAGAAUGGGAGAGGCUGAAGGUAGAGAAGUGAUAGAAUUUGGCUCACCUGGAAGGGCAACGGGCUAGAAGGGCUUCUGAAACGCUUGCUGAUUGCAAGUUCAGGGUAGCAGGCAACCUCUGUGAAUGUCAGGACAAAGUGGAAAAGACAUUCUGAGACUCACUCAAGAAGAGUUUCAUUUCUUCUGUGGUGGUGCUGCCACAUGUGGUAACUGCCUUGUGGAGGGGGGAUGAAAACAAGCCAGGAUUGAGUGGUUGGAUCUCCUCACCGGAGUGCUUCCUUUACAGCAGGCUCCCAUCAUCUUUUCCUUCCAGGUGCUCUCCUUGCUUUGCUCAGGUAGAAACUGGUACUCUGACAAUGUGUGCCUUUCAAUGGAGGAUGCUUGAAGUGCCUUUCAAGGAUGCUGCUUUGUUUUUCUGGCUCUACAUGCAACCCAUACAAUUGAUGGAAUUUUCUAUUAAACAUGAAAGGGCUUAAGGAAAUUUGUCUAAUAGCAGAAUAACCCACGGUAAAGGUAAAUAUCUAUUUUUAAUAUUCAGUAUUUUGAUCAUAAUAAAAUAGAUUGAAAAUGCUGGUGGGUGAAAUAU